rnacentral:rRNA from 1 species
GUCUACAGCCACACCACCCUGAACAUGCCCGAUCUGGUCUGAUCUCAGGAGCUAAGCAGGGUCGGGCUUGGUUGGUACUUGGAUGGGAGAAGACUGGGAGUGACGUCC